ensembl:lncRNA
CACAUCAAAGACAGGGGUGACACAGGGAAGGCCACGUGACAACGGAGGCAGAGAUUUCAGUGAUGUUUACACGCCAAGGAACACCGAGGACUCCCGGCAACCGCUAAAAGCUAGGAAGAGGCGAGAAGGGAUCUGCCUAUAGAGUUCCUUGCAGCAAGCAUGGUCCUGCCAGCGCCUUAGCUUCUAUCAGCCUCCAGGACUGCGAGAGAAGACAUGCCUGCUGUGCCCAGCCACUCAGAGCGUGGCCAUUUGUUUCCAACGCUUAAGGAAACUAAUAUACCUGCAAAGUCUGCAUACUUAAGUGCGUGAUGUGGGGACACUUGUCACUCACCAACCUCUCUUCAUAGACAGAAAAAUCUACACAAGCAAACAAGUGUUGAGCUCUGCUUCAGUUGUGUCUGACUCUUUGCAACCCUAUGGACUGUAGUCCACCAGGCUCCUUUGUCCACAGGAUUCUCCAGGCAAGAACACUGGAGUGGGUUGCCAUGCCCUCCUCCAAGGGAUCUUCCCAACCCAGGGAUGGAACUUGCGUCUCUUACGUCCCCUGCCUUGGCUGGUGGGUUCUUUACCACUAGCACCACCUGGAAGGCCCCACACAGGCAGAUAAGACUACUCAUCAAUCAACAGCUGAGACUCACUGGACAGAAUUUGUCCUAGAAAGGGACUUUGUUUUGAUGUCAUUGUUGAGGUUGUUUUAAUAGCUGGAUCAAUAAAACACAGAGGAAAGUGCCCUGAAGUGGAGAUUCCACGUAAUUUUCUGAUUAUGUGGUCAAGAUUGAAGGCAGGAGGAGAAGGGGACGACAGAGGAUGAGAUGGUUGGAUGGCAUCACCGACUCAAUGGACGUGAGUUUGAGUAACUCCAGGAGUUGGUGAUGGACAAGGAGGCCUAGCAUGCUGCAGUCCAUGGGGUCACAGAGUCAGACAUGACUGAGCGACUGAACUGAACUGAGCCCCAGAAUUCUGUUCUCAGCAGCAAGAUAGUGGAAGUAGCCAAGUGGGCAGAGCUGAGCAGGAGGCCUGGCUCUCAGGUUCAGCUGGACGGAGAGGGCUGGCUGGAAGUGACCAGGAAGCUUUGGGCCAGGACUUCCUGAGCAGGGGCUGUGAUGAGUCCCUGUGGCCUUGCCCCAGGACUGAGGCAGCAGGUGGAAGGGUUCUCUCUGUGCUUAAGCCUCAUUGAACACUUCUGGGUCAGGUCUGGUACACAGCACAUGCUCAGGAAUUCUUUCAGUCCCACAUUAACUAUUCAGACAAGAGAAAUUUCUGUACUAUGUGUUAUUUCCAAGACAUUUCAUGCAAUUUCUAUGAGGACUAAGAAAAACGUUUUUUCAAUACUGAAUGUGAAUUUUGAAGCAAGAACAUUAAAAAUUCUUGGGAUAAUAGUAUUUUUACAACUCAGG